GAGUUUGAUUGUGGCUCAGAUUGAACGCUGGCGGCAUGCCUUACACAUGCAAGUCGAACGGCAGCAUGAUCUAGCUUGCUAGAUUGAUGGCGAGUGGCGAACGGGUGAGUAAUACAUCGGAACGUGCCCUGUAGUGGGGGAUAACUAGUCGAAAGAUUAGCUAAUACCGCAUACGACCUGAGGGUGAAAGUGGGGGACCGCAAGGCCUCAUGCUAUAGGAGCGGCCGAUGUCUGAUUAGCUAGUUGGUGGGUAAAGGCCCACCAAGGCGACGAUCAGUAGCUGGUCUGAGAGGACGAUCAGCCACACUGGGACUGAGACACGGCCCAGACUCCUACGGGAGGCAGCAGUGGGGAAUUUUGGACAAUGGGCGAAAGCCUGAUCCAGCAAUGCCGCGUGUGUGAAGAAGGCCUCGG
rnacentral:rRNA from 1 species